rnacentral:rRNA from 1 species
AUUGAACGCUGGCGGCAUGCUUUACACAUGCAAGUCGAGGGGUAACGAGAGGAAAGCUUGCUUUCCUUGUCGACGACCGGCGCACGGGUGAGUAACGCGUAUCCAACCUGCCCCCAACUAGGGAAUAACCUUGCGAAAGUAAGACUAAUACCCUAUAAUUUCCUCAGAUGUCAUCUGACGAGGAAUAAAGAUUUAUCGGUUGUGGAUGGGGAUGCGUCUGAUUAGCUUGUUGGCGGGGUAACGGCCCACCAAGGCAACGAUCAGUAGGGGUUCUGAGAGGAAGGUCCCCCACAUUGGAACUGAGACACGGUCCAAACUCCUACGGGAAGCAGCAGUGAGGAAUAUUGGUCAAUGGGCGGAAGCCUGAACCAGCCAAGUAGCGUGCAGGAUGACGGCCCUAUGGGUUGUAAACUGCUUUUAUACAGGAAUAAAGUUAGCCACGUGUGGUUAUUUGUAGGUACUGUAUGAAUAAGGACCGGCUAAUUCCGUGCCAGCAGCCGCGGUAA